rnacentral:rRNA from 1 species
UACAGAGGUCUCAAGCGUUGUUCGGAUUCAUUGGGCGUAAAGGGUGCGUAGGUGGCGCGGUAAGUCGGGUGUGAAAUCUCGGAGCUUAACUCCGAAAUUGCAUUCGAUACUGCCGUGCUUGAGGACUGGAGAGGAGACUGGAAUUCAUGGUGUAGCAGUGAAAAUGCGUAGAGAUCAUGAGGAAGACCAGUGGCGAAGGCGGGUCUCUGGACAGUUCCUGACACUGAGGCACGAAGGCCAGGGGAGCAAACGGG